rnacentral:rRNA from 1 species
UACGUAGGUGGCAAGCGUUGUCCGGAUUUACUGGGCGUAAAGGGCGUGCAGGCGGUUGGGUAAGUCUAGGGUGAAAGCUCCCGGCUCAACUGGGAGAGGUCCUUGGAUACUGGCCGACUUGAGGGAGGCAGAGGAGAGUGGAAUUCCCGGUGUAGUGGUGAUAUGCGUAGAUAUCGGGAGGAACACCAAUGGCGAAGGCAGGUGACUAGACCCGUAUUGACGCUCAUCCACGAAAGCUGGGGGAUCAAACAGG